GACGAACGCUGGCGGCGUGCUUAACACAUGCAAGUCGAACGGUGAAGGGAUCAGCUUGCUGGUUCUGGAUGAGUGGCGAACGGGUGAGUAACACGUGAGUAACCUGCCCCCUUCUUCUGGAUAACCGCAUGAAAGUGUGGCUAAUACGGGAUAUUCUGCGCCUGCUGCAUGGUGGGUGUGGGAAAGAUAUUGUUUCGGUGGGGGAUGGGCUCGCGGCCUAUCAGCUUGUUGGUGGGGUGAUGGCCUACCAAGGCGGUGACGGGUAGCCGGCCUGAGGGGGUGGACGGUCACACUGGGACUGAGACACGGCCCAGACUCCUACGGGAGGCAGCAGUGGGGAAUAUUGCACAAUGGGCGCAAGCCUGAUGCAGCGACGCCGCGUGAGGGAUGGAGGCCUUCGGGUUGUGAACCUCUUUCGCCAGUGAAGCAGGCCUGUCCCUUGUGGGUGGGUUGACGGUAGCUGGAUAAGAAGCGCCGGCUAACUACGUG
rnacentral:rRNA from 1 species